GGGGAGCGCGGGGCGAUGCUGCCCGAGCAGCCGCUCCCUACCGCAGCACCCCGCUGCCUCGGGCUGUUCGGCACGUCGCGUUCUCCCUGCGCUGCGCCCUGUCCAGCCCUGUCCUCUUGUUCUGCUGCCACUGCCGCUCAGCCCUUCCUUUUGGGACACGGUGAAAGUUUCUUGUUCGAAUAGAAUAUUCUGGGCAGCCCUAAUGUCACCAUUUACAUUACUCAGCUGCUUCCAUACUCUCUCACGGACUUCUCAUAACAGCUGCUUCUGCGUCACCCAAGCAUUAUCUGCAGGCAUUUGGGUGUAGACAGAUCCACCCACCAUCCAGGCCUCCCGCCUGGCCCCGUGCCUCUGCUCUUGCCAUGCCAGACAGGACCGGAGCAGGGCGAGCACUUGUGUGGGGUUUUGGUGGAGGACACGCAGCUGCUCCCCCUUUCACCUCAGCCUCGGGCCAGCUCAGCCUUUUCCUGGCUCAGCACUACUGCUUUAGCCACAGGUGCCUGCUGCCAGGGUCAGAAACUGUGCUUAGGUGCCCCGGGGUUGUCCCUGUGCGGAGGAGGGACACUAGUGGAAAUGCAGCCGGCAUCCGGGUGACAGGAAGGAGCUCCUCUGUGCCGUCCUUUGGCAGCGCACAUACCACUUAUAUGGCUCUUUAAAUACGCAAACCACCGCACUCUACUGAUAAUGAGAGUGUGGUGGAAGACUCACAGGCUGUCGGUCCUCGUAAUGCCGCAAAUGAGACACUGGGGUUAAACGGCCGGUCACAGUGAAGCACCGUCAGUCCCUGUGGCUGAAUGGCAGGUUUUGUUUGGAUUUUUUGUUACCCUGGCGAAGUUCAUCCAAAGAGAAGAGAUAAAUCACAGGUGCAUUAGGACCUUAUGCUGAACGUCUAUCAAGGGUUUUAAUGAAACUGAACAGUGACCAGGAUAUUAGGAAGUUUCCGAUGCCUCUUUUUAUUAUGCUUCUAAAUUCUUACUGCAUGUACUGGUAUAUAUACUACCUCAAAAUACAUUGGAGCAAAGUGAGACAUGGGAGUUCCUCUAUUCAACAAAUCCAUUGACUGUCCUUCAGCUGCUGCUUUCAGCUUCUUGCAGACACGUUGGCUUACUUAUUCCUUUGUUUUGCAAAAUAUAGUAGGAAAGGCUUCAUGAAAACCCC
ensembl:lncRNA